rnacentral:rRNA from 1 species
CUACGAACCGUACGAACGUUAUUCGGAAUCACUGGGCUUCAAGAGUGCGUAGGCGGCUUGGAAAGUUGGGUGUGAAAUCCCUCGGCUCAACCGAGGAAUUGCGCCCAAAACUGUCAAGCUUGAGGGAGAUAGAGGUAAGCGGAACUAAUGGUGGAGCGGUGAAAUGCGUUGAUAUCAUUAGGAACACCUGAGGCGAAAGCAGCUUACUGGGUCUCUUCUGACGCUGAGGCACGAAAGCUAGGGGAGCGAACGGGAUUAGAAACCCCGGUAGUCC